CGCGCGGGGGCGAGACCCAGCAGUGGCGGUGACUUGCCGCGGCGGGGGCGGGGGCCGCAGAUGAAUAAAACACGCAGAGUACUGAGACCCCCGCAUUCUAUUUGGGAUCUAAAGAAGACGCAUCUUUCAUCCAGGAAGCCUCACCGUGCCGUUUGGCAGCCGCGCGUCUCUCUCGGACGCAGGCUUCUCUGGUCGGGAGUCAGGACAGCUCGCGUCCCCAAGCGCAGCGCGGGGCUGUACCUCCCAGGGACGCCAGUGUCCCGCCUGCCCCAGGAAUCCAGGCCAACGAUCGUUAUUUUCAGUGUCAGGAAACAUGUCGCCUUUCAUCAAAACCCCUCGUGCUACAGCUGAAGUUCUCCCGCUGCUGUGACAGAGAACGGCGGCCGUUUGUCCUUCCCUAGUGCCUACUGUGUGAGCGAGGAACCGUCGAAGGACCCAAAGGAGGGGGUUGAUGGGGCCUCGACCCUCAAAAACCCAUACUAGAGGUUUCACCUGGGGCAUCAAGUAACCUAGUGUGGUGGGUUCAGCUGUGCACCUCCAAAAGCUGUGCUCAAAUCCUAAUCCUAAAGCUGUGAAAGGGACCUCAUUUGGAAACAGUGUUUGCAGAUGUGAUCAAAUUAAGAUGAGCUCAGACUUGCUGAGGGUGGGCCUUGUGUCCAAUGGCUGUUGUCUUGACAAGAAGAGGGGGAGGGAGAUUUGGAUGCAGAGACCCAGCGGAGGCACAGAGAAGUCUGUGUGAAGACGGGGGCAGAGAUCAGGGUGAUGUUGUCCCAAGCCAAGGAACCCCGAGACUGACCAGGAGCCAACGGAAGCUGGACGAGGCCAGGAAGGAUUCUUCCCCAGAGUCUUUGAGGGGAGCAUGCCGUCUUAACAACUUGAUUGCACAUUUCUGGACCACAGUGAGAGAGCAAGUGUCUGUUUUCAGCCACCAAAGUCAGGGCACUUUGUUAAAACAGCCUUAGGAAACAUGUACAUCUACACGUCAGACAUUAAAGUAAGCUGUGGCACACACCGCUUAGUUGGAUUUGCAACUUUUCAAAGGAAGAUGGUUAAAAUAAAGCU